rnacentral:rRNA from 1 species
AACUAACGCUAGCGGCGUGCCUAACACAUGCAAGUCUUACGAGAAAGUCCGCUUCGGCGGAUGAUUAAAGUGGCGCACGGGUGAGUAACGCGUGGAUGAUCUGCCCUCCAGUUAGGGAUAACCUAUCGAAAGAUGGGCUAAUACCCAAUGAUGCUUAUUUGUUAAGAUGGAUAAGCCAAAGGUGGCCUCUAUUUAUAAGCUACUGCUGGAGGAUGAGUUCGCGUAUCAUUAGCUUGUUGGUGGCGUAAUGGCCUACCAAGGCGACGAUGGUUAGCUGGUCUUAGAGGACGACCAGCCACACUGGAACUGAGAUACGGUCCAGACUCCUACGGGAGGCAGCAGUGAGGAAUUUUGCGCAAUGGGGGAAACCCUGACGCAGCAACGCCGCGUGAGUGAGGAAGGCCCUCGGGUCGUAAAGCUCUGUCAGGUGGGAAGAAAUGUGUGACGGUCAAUACCCGUCAUGCUUGACGGUACCGCCAAAGGAAGCACCGGCAAACUCCGUGCCAGCAGCCGCGGUAAUACGGGGGGUGCAAGCGUUGUUCGGAAUUAUUGGGCGUAAAGAGCGUGUAGGCGGCUGGGUAAGUCAGAUGUGAAAGCCCUGGGCUCAACCCAGGACGUGCAUUUGAUACUGCUCAGCUAGAGUAAGAGAGAGGAAAGCGGAAUUCCUGGUGUAGAGGUGAAAUUCGUAGAUAUCAGGAGGAACACCGGUGGCGAAGGCGGCUUUCUGGCUCUAUACUGACGCUGAGACGCGAAAGCGUGGGUAGCAAACAGGAUUAGAUACCCUGGUAGUCCACGCCGUAAACGAUGUUCACUAGGUGUUGGGGGUAUUGACCCCCUCAGUGCCGCAGCUAACGCAUUAGUGAACCGCCUGGGGAGUACGGUCGCAAGACUAAACUCAAGGAAUUGACGGGGCCCGCACAGCGGUGGAGCAUGUGGUUUAAUUCGAUGCA